rnacentral:lncRNA from 1 species
UCCAGGAAGAGUGAGCCCUGCAGGCUUAUCCACAAUGAUAGAAACCAAUUUCUUCAGGCACCAGUGGGGCUCACAGAACAAGAACUGAGCUGAUGGCAACAGGCCCCAAAACAGGCAAGUGGGGUUACACCAAACUGAAGUGCCUCUGCACAGCAAAGGACAUCAGUGACAGUGAAGAGAGAGCCCACCAAACCAGGGUAAAUAUUUCUAAAUCAGUCAUCAUAUACGGGAGUGAAAGCCCAAGUCCUCAAGGAAGGCAAAC